rnacentral:rRNA from 1 species
CAUCACCUCCAGCAUUCCCAGUAUUGGAGGCAUUGCCUGCCCAGUGACAACUGUUUAACGGCCGCGGUAUCCUGACCGUGCAAAGGUAGCAUAAUCAUUUGUUCUCUAAAUAAGGACUUGUAUGAAUGGCCGCACGAGGGUUUUACUGUCUCUUACUUCCAAUCAGUGAAAUUGACCUUCCCGUGAAGAGGCGGGAAUGCACAAAUAAGACGAGAAGACCCUAUGGAGCUUUAACUAACCAACCCAAAGAGAAUAAAUUUAACCAUUAAGGAAUAACAACAAUCUCCAUGAGUUGGUAGUUUCGGUUGGGGUGACCUCGGAGAAUAAAAAAUCCUCCGAGCGAUUUUAAAGACUAGACCCACAAGUCAAAUCACUCUAUCGCUCAUUGAUCCAAAAACUUGAUCAACGGAACAAGUUACCCUAGGGAUAACAGCGCAAUCCUAUUCAAGAGUCCAUAUCGACAAUAGGGUUUACGACCUCGAUGUUGGAUCAGGACAUCCUGAUGGUGCAACCGCUAUCAAAGGUUCGUUUGUUCAACGA